CCAGAUAUCGCAGCUUGAACUUUUCUAUACAAACUUUCUGAGUUUGACAUGUGUUUAGAAGAUCUACAGUACUCUGUCGAUGUCCUAAGAUGUUGUCUACCCUUUCCUGUUGAUUCAAGAUCAUCAUAUGCCCCAAUCUGAUCAAAAUUUGAACUGCUCUGAUCACCUUAUGCCCCAUUCUGAUCAAUAUUUGAGCCGCCCUUUUUAGGUUUUCAACUCAAAUCCCCUUUGGUCUCAAGGCGCCCUUUGUGGGUUUUCACCUUAGUCUCUCCAUUUUCUUUCUUCUUUUCUC
rnacentral:lncRNA from 1 species